GAGAGAAAGAGUGAGAACAUAUCCAUUCAUCGUCCAUCCUUCACUUUACAGUAUACGAACGCAUGCGCGAAAUGAUGUAUUAAAAAUGGCCAACAGUUCGGUUUCACGUAUGUGUCAUGAAUGUAACCUAUAAAAGUGAUUUAUUCAUUUAUCGAUAAAGUGACGAUAAGAUGUAAAGUAUGCGGCAGAUAUUGGUUAAAAAUGUGAUAAAAGUCACUCUCAGGGCCAAGAUUUUUAUUGUAAUCACAGAAAUCAGCUCAUAAAUCUAUUGUUUUUACUUACAUAAACAUAAGAUUUCAUCACAUAGGACGUGAAAAUAACGAAAAGCCAAAUAAAAUACGUAAAAAAUUAACUAAAUUAAUUUUAUUUUCUUAUGACUGAUUCCUUGUAAAAUCAUCCCACAAAGUUUGAUGUAAAAGUACUACUAUAAGUUUAUAGAUACUAUAAGUUAGAAAUAGUAUUUAUAUUAUAUUAAUAUUGUUUAUAUUAUACUACUAAAUAACAUGCUAAUGAUAUUUGCUAUUA